rnacentral:lncRNA from 1 species
AUGUCUUCCUGGCCGAGGAGUUCCACAUCCACACGAGGGAAAACAGAAGACGACCCUGAGCUGUGUGUGGUGAUUUGUGAUGGGGGUAGCAGCCUUGAGCCCUCAGCAGGCCUGGCCAGGAGAGUGAACCCUGGAGGGAGGAAGAGAAUUGGAGGUGGUCCGCAGCGUGUUUGUGGGAAACCCAGGGACUCCCCAGAAGGGACUGGCUGCCUCCUGGAGCUCAGGUUCCUGUUCCAGGCUUUCAUGCCGAUCCAGGCUUUGCCUCACUUUCGCUGAGGGCGGGCAGGAAAUGGAAGGGCAGGACAGACAGACCUGGAGAUGUUGCCUCUGGAAUCCUGCU